rnacentral:lncRNA from 10 species
UACAGGUUUGGGACUGGAACUCAGGUGCCCCGACGACAAAUCCAGGGCUCUUUAACUACAUCAAAGGAAGGAAACCAGGUCUGUUUUAUGAUCCUGGUGCCAAGGGCACACCCAGUGAUUAAACUGAAAUCCAGAAGGACCGGUUUUGAAGAAUGGAUGGUUACAUAACAGAUGGCCAGCUGGUCUACCUAGAAGGGCCUUACAAAGGACAGUGCCUCCGUGGGGAAGGCUCACCCUGGAUCAGACGCCGGAUUGCAGAUUUACCAUGAAUGAAGCCCUUGGAGACUGAAUCAUGUUAAAAAUUCAAAAACAACUCAGUAAAUAUUUAUUUGAAGUCCUGCUGUUCUUCAAGGCCCUGGAAUGCAGAUAUGAGAAGAGUCACUGCUGCCCAAGAGCUGACUGACUGUGGAGGAAGACCAUGCUAGCAGGUGGCUACGUUUUCUACCACCUAGCACCUGCUCCCCCUUCUCCUGGUUUCUCAACAGGGGUCCCUCAUGUGAACUACAGAAUAUAGAAAGAUUGAAUGACUAAUUAUACUAGAACCAUUCAAGAUGCAUAGGAGAGAACUCAGUUUGUUACACACAGGAGAUUCCUUAAAGAACUAAAAGUAAGACUAUCAUUAGAUCCAGCAAUCCCACUACUGGGUAUCUACCCAGAGGAAAAGAAGUCAUUAUACGAAAAAGAUACUUUCACAUGCAUGUUUAUAGCAGCACAAUUUGCAAUUGCAAAAAUGUGGAACUAACUCAAAUGCCCAUUAAUCAAUGAGUAGAUAAAGAAACUGUGGUAUAUCUAUACAAUGGAAUACUACUCAGCCAUUAAAAGGAAAGAAUUAAUGGCAUUUACAACGACCUGGAUGAGAUUGGAGACUAUUAUUCUAAGUGAUAUAACUCAGGAAUGGAAAAUCAAACAUCGUAUUUUCUCACUCAUAAGUGGGAGCUAAGCUAUGAGGAUGCAAAGGCAUAAGAAUGACACAAUGGAUUUGGGGGACUCAGGGAAAGAGUAGGAAGGGGGUGAAGGAUAAAAGACUACAAAUUGGGUGCAUUGUGUACUGCUUGGGUUAUGUGUGCACCAAAAUCUCACAAAUCACCACUACAGGACUUACUCAUGUAACCAAACACCACCUGUUCUCCAAUAACCUAUAGAAACAAAAAAUUUAAAACAAAGAAAAACUUUCUAAUAACCACAUUUAAAAAGUAAAAAGAAAAAAAUUGUUACACACAAAGGAUGCAGUGAUGGUUAAUUUUAUGUGUCAACAUUAAUUUAAUUAAAGUUAAUGUCAAACAUUAUUCAGGAUAUGUCUUUGAGGGUGUUUCUGGGUGACAAUGACAUUUAAAUCUGUAGACUGAUUAAAGCAGACACCCUCCCUAAUUAAUGAUGGGGGAGCCUCAACCGGUCAGUUGAUGGCCUGAAUAGGACAAAAGGGCUGACCCUCCUGAGAGUAAGAGUGAAUUUCUCCUGCCUGAGUCAGACUGGAACUACACCAUUGGCUCUUCUGGGUCUCCAGCUUGCCAACUGCAGAUCUUGGGACUUCUCAGCCUCCAUAAUCACAUGAACCAAUUCCUUAAAAUAAAUCUCUUUCUCUCUAUAUACAUACAUCCUAUUAGUUCUGUUUCUCUGAAGAAAUGAUUAAUACAGAUGUCUUGGGGCAUCAGGCUUUAUUUCUC